rnacentral:ncRNA from 2 species
ACGAGAAACCGCGGGAGCUCGUGCUGGAACGGGCUGAGAGGGCGGAGCGCCGCCGACCGCAGAACCUGGUCCGGGUAAUGCCGGCGUAGGGAGGAACAGCCGCAUGACG